rfam:Lactobacillus saniviri JCM 17471 = DSM 24301 NODE_6, whole genome shotgun sequence.
AGAGGAGUAGGAAUUAGCGCGUUAAGUGCUGGUGGAACGGAAUGUGAACACCGGACGAAAGCUGCAGCUGCGAUGCUAGUUCCGCAUUCGCCGAU